UUUUAUUAUUAUUAGCAAUAUUAUAACUGACACAACAUAUGGCGCGAUGUCGUCGGAGACGGAGGCGAACAGGCAGGACUGUAUGUCGAUCGAAGUGCGGAACAUUUAAAAGGUGUCGCUAUUGUGAUAGACGAUACAGAGUGCGCCUGCCGCGGCGGAGACCACGCCGUCACCGCAGAUCAUGCUCCAGACGUAGAAGACGCUGCAGGUCCCCGUCGGUUUGCUUCGAGUAAAUACCGC